AAUCAACGCUGGCGGCGUGCCUCAGACAUGCAAGUCGAACGAUUAAAGCUCUCUUCGGAGAGUGUAUAGAGUGGCGCACGGGUGAGUAACACGUAAGUAAUCUACCUUUGAGUGGGGAAUAACCCGGGGAAACCCGAGCUAAUACCGCAUAAUGCAGCGGCACCGCAAGGUGACAGUUGUUAAAGGAGCAAAUCCGCUUAAAGAGGAGCUUGCGGCAGAUUAGCUAGCGGUAAGGUAAUGGCUUACCAAGGCUUCGAUCUGUAUCCGGCCUGAGAGGGCGGUCGGACACACUGACACUGAAUAACGGGUCAGACUCCUACGGGAGCAGCAGUCGGGAAUUUGGGCAAUGGGCGAAAGCCUGACCCAGCAACGCCGCGUGAAGGAUG
rnacentral:rRNA from 1 species